UGAUACUUGAAAGGGAGGAUUUACCUGCUUCCCCGGGCUGUCCUGGAACGUCACUGCGGUGCUGGCACCAGGGUCUUGCAAUGUAACCCAGGCUGGCCUCGAACUCUCUGUGAUCCUCCUGCCUCAGCCUCCCAUGCGUUUGGGCUCAUUGCCGUUAUGUUAUGCAGAAGCCCCUGGGCUUGGAGAGCAGAGACCCCCAAGCCCUGACGUCAAUUGUUUGGUUAUUUAUCAGAGGUAGGUAAAGAAGGCGUUGGGGAGGAGCUUUUGAGCUGGGUUUUGAAGGAUGAACAGGAGUUUGACAACAGGAAAAUGAACUUUCCCAGUAGGUGGGCGUGCUGCCUUAUCUCUUUCCAAGUUACCCUGGGAGGCAGGAGCAGGUCUAGUUGGUACUUUCUCCCGAGGGCCACGGCGAGCCCCAGGAGGAAAGGAGCCCAGGGAGGGGA